rnacentral:lncRNA from 1 species
AAGCCCCUCCCUUUUGUUUGUUAUGCACAGAGCUAGGACUCCAGCAUGCAUGCCUGGAAUUUUAGCACUUGGAAGACUGCGGUGGGAGGAUUUUCGAGACCUGGGGACCAGCCUGGACUGUAGAGUAAGAAAAAGAAGCAAAAGCAAGUGUGGAGGAGGGGCGCCAGGGGACGACUCGCAGGGAGGGCCUGCCACCCAUGGAUACAAAAGUCCGCGUUAAUGACCAUAUGGCUGAAUCCUGCUUGAAUCCCUGGUGAGGAACUGGCUGGGAACUCUUUGAUGACAUCAUCCCCAGCAAAAGCUUCCUUUAUCAUUUGCUUUUGGUCUCUUGCCCCUUCAUCUUCCUGGGAAGAAAUGAGAGCAAGAACUUUAACUUGUCUUCAAGAGUACUUCAUGACAAGACAGAAACCUGGGUUAUGACAUCUUAGCGCCCCCUAGGGGGUAAACAUCCUCAGCUCGUCAUCAUGACACAAUUUGAAACUUUCAACAAGAAGUUUUAGGGUCACAGAAAUGAUGGCCGGUGUCAGUAACAAGAACUCCAAGGUCCUGGCCAGAAUGUGGACUUGCCGCAGCUUAAAUACCCAAGCAGACAGGGUGCCUUGUCUUCCUAGGUACUCGUUUUAAUUACUUGAUUUGGAGUUGGGGUGGAGUGCUGAGCACUGGGUGCUGGAAUUUAGUGAAGGGAGCUUUGGCAGAUCAAUCACUGAUCUUUGAAUUGUUGUGCCUGGAAUCCAACCAGAGCAUUCAGUGACUGCCUUCUCCUUUGAAGGCAGGUUUAGAGUCACCCCAAAGAACUUUAGUGGCUCAGGAUUUAGGCAGCACGUGUGGCUCAGCUGUGUCCACAUAUCUACACUUGGGCCCAGCAUGGUGCCAUGGUCAUCUGUACCUCUUAACUCCUGAAAAACAUUCCAGCAAAACCAACAUGUACUGACUGUGCUGUGUGUAAGAAGGACCCGUUCUGUUCAACUGUCAACUACCCCACCACAAGCCAAAGAUCUGGCUCUUGCUCACCAACUCCUCUACUGUUGUCGGAAGCGCCAGUGACGUCACAGAGGGAGUUCUUGUAGUCAGGAGGUUCUGUAGACUGAUCAUUUGUUCCUUCUUGUUCUUCCCCUUGGAGUGAUUCUGUGGGUUCCUCCUCACCUGCUCCCCUUCUACUGAAGGUCUAGGGCGCUCCUUAUUUGGAAGGCUGUCCUCUUUACCUAGCUCUUCUAGUUCCUCCAGAGUUCGCAUUCUCUCUGGCCUCUGCAGCAAGAGAGGCUCAUCUUCCUCUGGGGCAGGUUCCUCUUCCCAGACCAGGUCAACAGCCUUUGCUGGACUCUUUUUUUGUUUCUUAGAUAGAUGGUUUUCCUUACUGAGUUUCUUAGAUAAUGCCCUCAAUUCAGAUAAUACCUCCUGGCUGGUAGAAUCUGAAGGAAGGGGACAGAAAAAGAAUCAAGCUGCCAGAGAUGAAACUUGGAAGUUUCUUAGUUAACAAGUAUUUGUCAAGCAACUACUGAGUGCUGGGUACCAUGAAAUACAUUCUAAUACGAACAAACAGGGUCCUAUUUCCCAGGUUACUGCUAAUGACCAGGACGGGGCUUCACUUCCCUGUAUAGUAAACUCUACGUGGAAAGAUUACCCCAAGUUCUCAAUAAACAAACAAACAAAGGGCAGAGGCUACUUUUUCUGAGAUAGGAUUUGUCUGUUUAACAGCCCAGGCUGUCCUGGAACUCAUUCUGUAGACCAGGCUGGCCUCACACUCACAGAGAUCUGCCUGCCUGCCUCUCAAGUGCUGGGAUUAAAGGCUUGUGCAACUAUGCUAGCCUCACUUCAUACUUAAAUAAAGUUAUUUUUUU